ACCAUGUAGCGGAUCUCCCCCGCCCCCCGGCUCGGAAAAUAAGGAUGCAAAAAAAGGGCGCAAGGCGCGCGCAUGGGGGAGCGGGUUACCGCACGGGCGCUGGGAGGGAAGCCGCGCUUACGCCGGCGGGGGGGUCUCCUCGCGCGCAAGUGCGUCCAGGAUCGCAGCCUGGAUAGCCCUCCCCCUGCCCCCUCCAGCUCAGAACCAGCCGGGACGGUUGCGCCGUGAGCAAGGCUGGCUGCGCCCGAGGCGAAACGGGAAGCGGGGGCCGCGCAGCUUGCCCUGCCCGCCGGCGGUGGAUCGUCUUCCUUUCCCGGGCAGAGGCAGCGGCCGGAGCCGGACGCCGCGGCGAGGGAGCCGGCUUCUUUCCAAGAUCGGCUCCGGAGAAGGACGCGGAUGGCACGAAAUGGAAAGAGGAAGAUUUUCACCUGGAGACGACAUUUCUUGAAUUGUACACAAGAUUUUUCACACUUUUUUUUUUCCUCUGCCACGACCCUCCCUCCCAAAUUAUGGAAGCUGCCAGGGACAGGUGAGUCAACCCGAACAUAGGCUGUACAGUUAAUCAUCUACUACGAAUAUAAUUUGGCUAUUGUUCCAGUGUAUUUUAUAUAUAUUUUUUUAAAAAAUGAAAGUUCAACAAAUAUCCUUGGUUUGAGUUAAGGAGUGGUUUCUUGAGCUGAGAUCAGAAAUACUCUUCCCCCCCCCUCCCCGCUAGGAACUUUUGAUCACUUCAUCGUUUCCUUUGGGCAGGCAAAUAUAGUAUUUUCUUUCUUUAUUUCUUUCUUUCUUUCUUUCUUUCUUUCUUUCUUUCUUUCUUUCUUUCUUUCUUUCUUUCUUUGACAAAUCUUCUAAAAAGGAUUUAGGGGGGUCGGAGAUUAAACGGUUCUUUAGAGACACACAAAAAGCCCGGGUUGUCUGUCCAAAACGUGUUCCCCCCUCUUCCGCUCACCCCUUGGGUUUCACCAAACUCACAGAUGUAAACACGAUAGACGUGUUGAAGGUGGCCCCUUGAAUCCGUCAACCUGACCAUUUCCUGUCGGUGUCCUGAGAAAUAAAUUACGACUGAGCUGUUCA
rnacentral:lncRNA from 1 species